AUGCUGGUGCUGCUGGAGUCAGGAAAGGCAGAGCUGCUGGGAGAAGUGAGCGACUCCAGAAGGGCCAGAGUGUUCCCUUUGCAGCUGCUUUUGGACAUUUCACUACCACCACCACCUUGAGAAAGCUAUCAUGGAUGUUGCCUUGCUGGGCCUGCAUUGCUGGGUCUUCAGCCUAUUGCCCAGUUUCAUUUCUUUGUGCAUCUUUAUGGCUUUGGGGAAAGAACACAGGAUGAGAAGCCAGGUUCUCUCACUGGAGGCUUCCAAGCAGUUCAUUUCCUGUCAGGGGUAAACAUGCAGAUACGGGGUGAUCCCUGACUCUUCCAGCAUUAACAUCAUGAGAUACCUUGUAUCCCAUGGCAGUCAAUGAAUGUAGGCUUAUGGCUGUUGUUUUCACUUGAUGAUGGUACCAGUCCAUCUGCUUGGUACAGUGGCAGCAUUUAGGCAAAAGCAUUCAUCACAGAUGAGAUGUUUCUAGCCUUUAACUACCUCACAGCUUGGGCUCAGAAGAAUCCUAAGGUCUGUGAAUUUACCCUCGCACAGUGAGGGAGCUGGGAAGAGAUCACUUCUGAAUGAAGGCAGAGGAUCCUUUUCUGUCUGGAUUGCAAGAAUAAUGGUGAGGAGAGAGAAGGAGACACACAUGUGAGUCACCCUGCCUUUGCAGUCUGUCCUGGAGCCUCUUACUCUAUUGAUCACUCUCCUCUUCUAAGGUGUCACUCUAAUCGACAGCUUGUGCCCCCUUAGAAGUCAGACUUCUUACUAAAGAUGCAGACUGGCAUUUAAAGUGGGUUUUGUCACACACACCAUAAACUUCAUUCUGGGCCCCUAUCGUAACCAUGAGACUACAUCUCACACACCUCUAACUAGAGGGGCCAUAGUUGACCAAGGGCUCCAGCCACAGUGUUCUGAGGCCCACCUACAUUUGUACUGGGGCAUGUUUCCUACAGGCUGCUUCCAGCCAAUGUCCACUCCUGGGAGACAUGGGGUAUCUCUGAUGUCAGCUUUGGCUCAGGGACUCCACGUUGGCUUGGACGAAGCUCAGUAGUUUAGGAUGCUUCCCCCAUCCUUCUCUCCUUCACUCCAGAAGACCGUCCAGGAAGGAAUAAAGUGGUUGAGGAAAGUGGACAUGCUGGAAGGGCUCUAUGUAAGCCAAAAGACCCAACUAGAGAAUGCAUCCCACGAGAGGAUAUACCAGUCCCCAAACCAUUGAAAUGCACUGAUGAGAGGGACACCAGCAUCACUAAGAAGUUGUGCAGGCUGGGGAUGAUGGAAGGAGAAAUGCUUACAAACUGAGCUUGUUAGCAUCUGCAGAAGUGAUAUAGGCCAGGAGGUGGCGCUUACCUGCCAGAAGCCAGGAGGCCAUAAUUACCUCACUCUUCAAAAGAUCCUCAACCAGCCCUUCUAUCUGGAGGCUUACCGAAUGUCUGAUCCACAGGAAUGGAAUCCCAUACAGCAGAGCAUCCAAGCAGGGGCUGUACUUCAGAUGCAGCUGGUGUGGAACCAGGGGCCCUCUGGCUGUGUCAUGUACUGCACCACCCAGAGUUACCCCUCAAGGAAGGAAAGCCCACAGGUCCAUGGGGAACUGCUCCCUGCACCUGUGAGGAGAAGUAGCUCUAUAUGACACAAGG
ensembl:lncRNA